rnacentral:lncRNA from 1 species
UCUUUAUUAUAUUUUCGUUUAGCAUGUAGUCUAGUGUAGGUUGAUGGUUGUCCCGUGAAGCUUCAUCUCAGCAUGCGGAGGAGGCGUGAUGCCGGGCUGCCGGGCGAUAGGCGAGCAUGGCGAGAUGCCGAUGGCAGCGUGAGGCAGCAUGUCCGUGUGAUGCGGCAAGCACAGAGAGGCUGGAGUGUGACGGGCUGCACGAAGAGGUUGAACCGGGCGAUCCGGUAAGUCAUUAUCAAUUGCAUACAUUGCUAGUUUGGUUGGGUCUGUGGCCGUUGACGAGGCUGCCCAAGUACUGGCCGUGCAUGUAGUUCUGCAUGUUGAGGCGGUCAGAUGCAUAGUUGUUAGGAUCCUGGAGCGAUUCCUGGAGUAGGAUAAGGCCAGUUAGUGAGUGUGGUCGUGCAUGCAUGGAUUAGUUUGUUAGUGGCCGAGCGUGGCGGCCUGUUAGUUCGUGCGUGACUUAGUGGCCCGGCCAGGUUGUGCGUGAGGGCCAACAGUCUAUGUAUAUAUAUGUCACGCCGAGCAAUGAGAAAAGUGAGGCCGAGAGGGCUGGGAAAAACACAAUGUAGUCUCUUGUUCCACCAAGGAGAAGGGCCUCUCGUGCAAAGUAACAGCUGGUCUUCUUCUUGGUUGUGUGUGUGUUGAGUUCCCCACCAUGUGUGUGUGUGUUCUUGUGUUCUUGAGAGAAGAAGAGAGAAACCUCAGGAGAGUUGUGCGAGGCAGCUCGAGGUAGAAGAAGAAGGUCGGCGCUGCGAGAGGAGCGGCGCCAACAAUUGGCAUCAGAGCCUUGUCGAUCCGCGACGGUGACAGGGGCGUGACGGACUCCAUGUGAGGUGGAGGAAGGCGGUGCGGCGGACUCCAUGCGAGAUGGAGGCCGGCGGCACAAGGAGGAGGCUGGUGGCGGCGCGAGGCCGCUGGUGGCUUUGACGGCGCGAGGCCGUUAUGAGGAGAAGACGGUGUGGCGAUCGGCGCCGCGAAGGCGUCGUCCACGUCAAGAGAUGGUCGUUGCAUGCGGUAGGAGGUCGUGUUACACGAUGCUGCGAUGGCGUCGUCCACGGCAAGACGGCAUGGUGAUUGGCAUCGCGAGGACGUCAUCGACGACAAGAUGGUCCAUGGUGACCGGCGCUGCAACGGUGCCGGUGGCGGCGAGGGCCCGGUUGCGGCGUUGCGAUGACGUCGUCAAAUGGCGGUGGGUGAUCCGCGUCGAAGAUUGUGAUGGACAGAGAAUCAAGAUUAGAGGGGAAAAUAUCAGGAUUAAUCUUGAUUGUGUAUCUUUAUUAUAUUUUCGUUUAGCAUGUAGUCUAGUGUAGGUUGAUGGUUGUCCCGUGAAGCUUCAUCUCAGCAUGCGGAGGAGGCGUGAUGCCGGGCUGCCGGGCGAUAGGCGAGCAUGGCGAGAUGCCGAUGGCAGCGUGAGGCAGCAUGUCCGUGUGAUGCAGCAAGCACAGAGAGGCUGGAGUGUGACGGGCUGCACGAAGAGGUUGAACCGGGCGAUCCGGUAAGUCAUUAUCAGUUGCAUACAUUGCUAGUUUGGUUGGGUCUGUGGCCAUUGACGAGGCUGCCCAAGUACUGGCCGUGCAUGUAGUUCUGCAUGUUGAGGCGGUCAGAUGCAUAGUUGUUAGGAUCCUGGAGCGAUUCCUGGAGUAGGAUAAGGCCAGUUAGUGAGUGUGGUCGUGCAUGCAUGGAUUAGUUUGUUAGUGGCCGAGCGUGGCGGCCUGUUAGUUCGUGCCUGACUUAGUGGCCCGGCCAGGUUGUGCGUGAGGGCCAACAGUCUAUGUAUAUAUAUGUCACGCCGAGCAAUGAGAAAAGUGAGGCCGAGAGGGCUGGGAAAAACACAAUGUAGUCUCUUGUUCCACCAAGGAGAAG